GGGACCACAUUAAAGGCAACAAAACACACAGUAAGGGACCACAACAGAACAAUAUCAGGGGACAAAAAGACAACGUACUACCAUGGGGGACCCCAACAACAUAAAAUAAGUGAUCAAAAACGCACCUUUCAACUUUUCUUUUCGAACGAAGUCCUCGCUGACGAACUACGCUUCCAAGGAAGUCGCUCCCCACCACAAACGCUGACAAUGCUCCUUUCGACACCAAUCUCCUUCGAAGCAACCAAUCUCCGUCUCAAAGAAUCACACAACGAACACUACGUACCAAUUCCCCAACCCUCGAGAAAUAUAAUCCCCAAUUUCACUCUCUG
rnacentral:lncRNA from 1 species